rnacentral:rRNA from 1 species
GUCAGCGUCGGGCGAGUGGCGGAGGGAAUACGAAGGGGGCGAGCGUGGGUCGGAAUGACUGGGCGGAAAGGUGAUGUAGGCGGGGCGUUGAGUCGGUGGUGAAAGCCCAGAGCUCAACUUUGGAAGUGCCUUCGAUACUGGCGGCCUGGAGCAUGGUAGAGGGGGGUGGAAUUGCGAGUGUAGAGGUGAAAUUCGUAGAUAUUCGCAGGAACACCAGUGGCGAAGGCGACUCGCUGGAUCAUUGCUGACGCUGAGAUGCGAAAGCGUGGGGAGCAAACAGGAUUAGAUACCCCAGUAGUC